rnacentral:lncRNA from 1 species
GGCAUUUUUCUUCUAGUCUCUCAUAGAAACUUCUGGCCUCUGGACACUGUGGGAGCAACUUUUCCUUUAUUAGACUGUCUCCUCUUUAACUGUACCUAGAAGAUACUUUAGCACAGCAAGCAUCUCUUUUAUGCUUACAUUAUGCAGUUAUGCAGACUUGGUGUACGUCCUUCAAGGACAGUCUAAGAAUCUUUGAUUCUAUUUCUGCUGGAUACAUUGUUGCAGAGAUGAGAUAGACCAGUGCAAUGGACCUCAUAACCACAUACAAUCUAGUUUUAUGGGGAAACUCCUUGUAUAAAAGAAUAUUGCAGCAUGACUGGGAAGCCUGUCCUUCAUUACUUCAAUUGAAGAAGAAGAAUGGAGUCCAUCCGGUGGCUCCUGGCAGCAGCUGGAGUAGAGUUUGAGGAAGAACUUUUUGAAACCCAUGAAGAGUUUGAGAAGUUAAUCCAAGGUGGAACCCUGAUGUACGAGCAAGUGCCCAUGGUGGAAAUCGAUGGAAUGACUUUGGUGCAGACCAGUGCCAUCUUAAGAUAUGUAGCUGCAAAAUAUGACUUGUAUGGAAGGAACCUGGAGGAACAAGCCUGAAGAGAAGGAGAUGAACCUUGAAUACAUCCUCCACCGAGCUACAACAAGAUUCUUCCCCGUUUAUGAGAAGGCCCUGAGAGACCACGGGCAAGACUUUCUUGUGGGCAAUCGGCUGAGCUUGGCUGAUGUCCAGCUCCUUGAAGUCAUCUUAAUGGCUGAAGAAUGCAAAGCCAGUGUUCUCUCGGGUUUCCCUCUGCUACAGGACUUCAAGGUGAGAACCAGCCAAAUUCCUACAAUUAACAGCUUCCUCCAACCUGGAAGCCAGAGGAAGCCUCCUUUGGAGGAGCGAUCCAUUGGGACUGCAAAGGACAUAUUCAAAUUUGAAUGAGGACUGUUUCUUAAAAACAUGAGCAAUAUAGUAGCUGAGUAUUAACAGCUACAGAGGCUGGAGUUACUCAGUAAGUAUACUGAGUAACUUGACACUGCAUUCAUAAAAAGACACUCACUAAGUAUAUGGCCAGAGAAAUAUCCUGAAGUUAGUAAUAAAUGUUAGGAAUCUUAGUAUGUUAGCAAUGUUAGAAUGUUAGUAAUGGAAAUAUUAAAUGUGUAAGAGAAAAACUACUAGAAGCUUAUCAAUAAACUACAAGAACCAACUCUUGUUUGAAGUAAGACAGGCUACCAAGACAGAAUUCAGAAAAUCCAAGGAGCCCUCGGCCUUCUGUAUGAUCCUAGAAUAAACUUGUAUGUAGCAAGUGAAA